GGUUAAAAUGCACUGUUGCUGUAAUUCAGACAAUAUCCACAAGGUGGGAUCAAGUUCAGCAUAAGGCAUUGCAUAGUGUAAUCACUUAUUUAGGUCUUUGCCGAAUCUACAGGCAUACUGUAGAUUGUCUUUUUUUUACAGAUAGUUGAGCACUGGGAUCUACACUCUGUUCUUCUGACUCUUCAAACAGAUGGCCACUUUCUGUGAGGCUGCAUGUCAUACAAACCUCUAGUUGUACAACCAGGUGAAGACAAUGUAAGGUCACAUGAUUAUAUGGAGAGGAUUGCUGCUUUCUGCAAGACACAGUCAGAUGGAGAUGUUGAAGAAAAAUGUCCAAAGAGAACUUCAUGGGGUGCAUCUGAAAGCACCUCUUCAAGAUCAUGGCAAUUUCAGGAUGUCUCUAAUCUGGAGGCCUGUGUCUGGUAGAUGUGGGCCCUCAAUUGGCUCUUGGCUUGCAGAUAACACUGUGAAGAGGCUACUAGACUUGCUGGGUCCUGAGGACCCUGCCCAUGCGCAGAACCAGUUUCUCUGA
rnacentral:lncRNA from 1 species